ACAACGGCCCUUUUAAGGGCCAACACUAAUUCAAAAAGGAAUUUAG
rfam:Beta vulgaris subsp. vulgaris contig128941.1, whole genome shotgun sequence.